UACAGAGGGUGCAAGCGUUGUUCGGAAUUAUUGGGCGUAAAGGGCGCGUAGGCGGUGCCACAAGUCACCUGUGAAAUCUCCGGGCUUAACUCGGAGCCUGCAGGCGAAACUGUGGUGCUGGAGUGUGGGAGAGGUGCGUGGAAUUCCCGGUGUAGCGGUGAAGUGCGUAGAUUUCGGGAGGAACACCUGUGGCGAAAGCGGCGCACUGGACCAUAACUGACGCUGAUGCGCGAAAGCUAGGGGAGCAAACAGG
rnacentral:rRNA from 1 species